GAGGAAUUGUUUCAAGGUUGCAAGAUGUUCCGUUUGCUUGUUCUCGCUCUGGUUGUGGCCGUUGCAACGGCGCAGGAUCCGGCCAACUGCAGGUGCGGCGCCUUCAUCACUCUUGACUCUGUCGAGAAGAUGCUGUACGAGCUGCCUGCCAUCGACGUUGGCGG